CUUUAGGGAUUAGGGUUCAUUCUUUUUUUAGCACAACAAAGAAGUAGAAGUUUUGUGCGGCUGGGUUCCCAUCUAACCGACGGUGCAGUUGUUCUUGGUGGUUAUGGUGCUCGGCAACGGCUAUGCUGCUGGUCGGCCACGCUUUUCGACGCCUGGACAAUCUCGGCCAAGGUUCUCGGCGGCGCUGCAGGUGGUUCUCGGCGCUGCAGGGGUGCACGGAGCUGCAAGAGGUCUCGACGCUGCAGGUGUUUUUGGCCACGACGGCGGUGGCAGCAGAGGUCUCGGUGGAAUUUGAGAACCCACUAAAAUCCAGCAUGGAGGGCUCAGAACGGUGACAACUCAGGACAAAUGGUGGGUCUCGGAGUGGUUGCGGCUUUGGACGAACGGCGGGGGUCAGCCCUCCGAAAGCUUCACACAGGCUCACUACUCAUAGAGUUAUUGCAUGGGAAGAAAAAUAAAGCACUAGGUCCCUGAAGAUUGGGUCUGUGAAUCUGGGAAGAGAGAUGAAGCUGUCACAAUAGCAAUGAGCAAGGGGCAAUUGUCAAUUUCACAGCUUCAUUCCAAGAAGAAAAAGCCAGUAGAAACUGGUAAAGUUAAGUUCAUUCCUCAUGAAGAAAUCCUUAAGCUAUCUUCAGAGACCUUCUAAUAAUAAUAAAAAAUUGUGAUGCUGUGAAAUCAUUCCUUGCUUGAAAAGAAAGCAUUUUUUUGUUGGUGUAGCACUCCUUGCUUUAAGGAAUGCUCAAUGCGUCUUUGUGACUGGCACUUGUGGUUGUAGUUUUGAUAGUUUUUCAUGAGGGCCUCUUUGCUGUCUUUGUUAUUCUCUGUUUGUAGUUUUAUGUCUUAUAUGUACUAUCUUUGUCUGAGGCUGUCUAGACUAUAAUACAAUACAUGUGAUUUCUUAUCAUCUUUUUUUAAUACAAUCUUGUUUGGUUGGGAUUGAAAUGAUAGUGUUUAUGUGAGAAUAGAAAUAGAAUGGGAAAGAAAUAUCAAUUCUUUUGUUUGGUUGAAAUUUUGUUUGGCAUGGCAUGGACUAACAUUACUUUGACCAAAAUAUCCAUAUGCAACAGUAACUAUUAUGUAAUAUGAUUUUGUAAGCUGAUUAGACUAAAUAUUAAAAUUAUAUUUUUGAGUAAUUAAUAAAAAAAUUAUUUUGUUGUA